UACGUAGGCAGCAAGCGUUGUUCGGAGUUACUGGGCGUAAAGGGUGUGUAGGCGGUUCUCUAAGUCUGGGGUGAAAUCUCCCGGCUCAACUGGGAGGGUGCGCCGGAAACUGGAGAGCUAGAGUACUGGAUGGGAGAGUGGAAUUCCUGGUGUAGCGGUGAAAUGCGUAGAUAUCAGGAGGAACACCUGUGGUGUAGACGGCUCUCUGGACAGUAACUGACGCUGAGACACGAAAGCGUGGGUAGCAAACAGG
rnacentral:rRNA from 1 species